rfam:Myotis lucifugus cont2.18123, whole genome shotgun sequence.
AAUUCUUGCUAGGCAUCCACACAAACAUCAUGCAGCCAAAGAGUAAGUUGGGAUCAUAGUACUGGUCUGGUGUCUCAUUGGAUGUAAUUUACCACUGGCCAGCCUCCAAAUUCCCACACAGAA